rnacentral:lncRNA from 1 species
CCCAACCAAACCUUUUCCUGCUGAACACACCAGUGAUGCCAUCUGCUUCCAUGGCCCUUGGUGGAGGCUGGAGAGACCAUGUCCUAGGGGCUCUGCAGGAGAAGAGGGGGACAGGGGACAGGUGCAGCUCUGUCCCCUCUCUGCACUGCUCUGUGACUCUGAUGCACUUGGGUAAAGUCAGCUGGUAAUCGCACGCGGUGAUAAAUAGUGAGAGACAGGAGUUCCUUGCAAACAAAUGAGCCUCAACUAACCUCAUUUCUUCUUUUGACAGGAUAACAAGCUUAGAGGAUAAAUUCUCCCCUGCCAGAAUUUGUUUCUCUGCUGCCAGCCACCUCAGCAUUUAGCAAAACCCCAUUCUUUGCUCAGUUCCAGGCUGCUUGAAGCAAAGGCAGGUUCAGACCACCCUCCUCAAGUUUUGGAAUCAGUCCCACUAGCUUUUCUCCUGCAGCCUGCUGUGUUUGUUCCCAACCCCCUCACCUCAGCUUGUAGCUGGCAGGGGCAGUGCUGGGGCAGGAUGGCAGAGCUCACAUUCACCUGAGACCCAUGGUGUGGGAAAAACCAGCUGGGUGCAUCAGCAUCAAGGACAUUUCAUCUCAGCAGCCGUUGCAGUGUAUCUGAAGAGGCUGUUCCCUGAGACAAUAUGGCUUUCCCAAAGCUGCUUCCUGCUGUGUGUUAGACUGGUCACUGGGGCUCCAGAUUGCAGCAAUCAGGUGGGAUGUGCCUAUCUUUGUUUCCAACCAAGGGACAAACU